AUACGUAGGGAGCAAGCGUUGUCCGGAAUUACUGGGCGUAAAGGGUGCGUAGGCGGCAUUACAAGUCUAAUGUGAAAUCCCCGUGCUUAACAUGGGGUUUGCAAUAGAAACUGUAAAGCUAGAGUGCAGGAGAGGUAAGUGGAAUUCCUAGUGUAGCGGUGAAAUGCGUAGAUAUUAGGAGGAACACCAGUGGCGAAGGCGGCUUACUGGUCCAUUACUGACGCUGAGGUGCGAAAGCGU
rnacentral:rRNA from 1 species